rnacentral:misc_RNA from 1 species
GAUGAAGAACUCAGCGAAAUGCGAUAAGUAAUGUGAAUUGCAGAAUUCAGUGAAUCAUCGAAUCUUUGAACGCACAUUGCGCCCGCCAGUAUUCUGGCGGGCAUGCCUGUUCGAGCGUCAUUACAACCCUCAGGCCCCCGGGCCUGGCGUUGGGGAUCGGCGGAAGCCCCCUGCGGGCACAACGCCGUCCCCCAAAUACAGUGGCGGUCCCGCCGCAGCUUCCAUUGCGUAGUAGCUAACACCUCGCAACUGGAGAGCGGCGCGGCCACGCCGUAAAACACCCAACUUCUGAAUGUUGACCUCGAAUCAGGUAGGAAUACCCGCUGAACUUAAGCAUAUCAAUAAGCGGAGGA